rnacentral:rRNA from 1 species
GAUGAACGCUAGCGGCAGGCUUAACACAUGCAAGUCGAGGGGUAUAGUAGCAAUACUAGAGACCGGCGCACGGGUGCGUAACGCGUAUGCAAUCUACCUUUCACAGAGGGAUAGCCCAGAGAAAUUUGGAUUAAUACCUCAUAGUAUAGUAUCUUGGCAUCAAGGAACUAUUAAAGUCACAACGGUGAAAGAUGAGCAUGCGUCCCAUUAGUUAGUUAGUAAGGUAACGGCUUACCAAGACUACGAUGGGUAGGGGUACUGAGAGGGAGAUCCCCCACACUGGUACGGAGACACGGACCAGACUCCUACGGGAGGCAGCAGUGAGGAAUAUUGGACAAUGGGCGCAAGCCUGAUCCAGCCAUGCCGCGUGCAGGAUGACGGUCCUAUGGAUUGUAAACUGCUUUUGUACAGGAAGAAACACCCCGACGUGUCGGGACUUGACGGUACUGUAAGAAUAAGGAUCGGCUAACUCCGUGCCAGCCGCCGCGGUAA